UUCUCUCCCCUGGAAGUCCCGUGUGUCAAAUGAAUGGGUAGCGACUGAAGGAAGUGUCUCCAUCUACGAACAGUCACAUCCUGUGGAGAUGGCAGGGCAACCCGGAUUUUGAGAUACUGUAUGAUGUGUGAAAUGUAAAUGAGAAGAUCCCGAAUACCAUCUGUCAGACAUACUGUAAGACGCAGCUCUUCAGCUUCACUGCAGUGUUUGCUUCAGAGGACACAGGGUCUCAUUGGGAAAGGAAAGCUAUGAACUUUGCAGUCAACAAACACUCCACGUUCAACAUCUCUAGCAACAUGUUCUCAAGUGGAAACACCACUCGAGUGUCUUUUAUAUAGUCAAUUUAGUAAAAAAAAAAAAAAAAAAAACCUCUUACACAAGAUUUCAAAUUUAUGGUUUAAUUUAAUCACCCUCAUAUAGUUCAAAACGUGUAGGUUACAUAUUUCCCCCAGAAUGUCUAAGAUGUGGAACUUUAAAUGUGGUCAUUAAUUUUAUCCCUUAAAACUCGUCUUUGACAAUCAAUGUGAUGCACUGUAAAAAAUAAAUAAAAUAAAAUAA